rnacentral:tRNA from 1 species
GCCUGGGUGGCUCAGUGGGUUGAGUGUCUGACUUCAGCUCAGGUCAUGAUGUCACCGUUCGUGAGUUCGAGCCCCGCGUCGGGCU